UCUUUGCUAGUAUAUCGGUUAGUACACGCGCCUGUCAUAUUGUAUGCAAUCAGUGCAAUUGUCCGCGCGAAAGCUGGGUUCGACUCCCAGGCAGAGAG